rnacentral:rRNA from 1 species
AUUGAACGCUGGCGGCAUGCCUUACACAUGCAAGUCGAACGGCAGCACGGGAGCAAUCCUGGUGGCGAGUGGCGAACGGGUGAGUAAUAUAUCGGAACGUGCCCAGUCGUGGGGAUGACGUAGCGAAAGCUACGCUAAUACCGCAUACGAUCUAUGGAUGAAAGCGGGGGAUCGCAAGACCUCGCGCGAUUGGAGCGGCCGAUAUCAGAUUAGGUAGUUGGUGAGGUAAGGGCUCACCAAGCCGACGAUCUGUAGCUGGUCUGAGAGGACGACCAGCCACACUGGGACUGAGACACGGCCCAGACUCCUACGGGAGGCAGCAGUGGGGAAUUUUUGGACAAUGGGCGCAAGCCUGAUCCAGCAAUGCCGCGUGCAGGAUGAAGGCCUCGGUUGUAAC